rnacentral:lncRNA from 1 species
CAUAUGUAACAAAAAUCCCCCAACAUUGUUACAACAAUGACUGAACCUUAUUUGAUCCAGACCUCUGACCAGAUCCUUGAAACCCUUCAUUUCUGAUGUGGUGUAAUAUCUUAAGCUCUGAGGUAAGGUUUUCUGACUGAUUGUUCCCAGAUCUGAGCAGAUCUAGGUACAGUGAGUGAAGGAAAGGGAUUUCAGGUGGAUCUGAGAGAGAAAUAGAGAAGGAAGGGAAGAAUUCA